UGGGGAAUAUUGGACAAUGGGCGAAAGCCUGAUCCAGCCAUGCCGCGUGAGUGAUGAAGGCCUUAGGGUUGUAAAGCUCUUUUACCUGGGAAGAUAAUGACGGUACCAGGAGAAUAAGCACCGGCUAACUCCGUGCCAGCAGCCGCGGUAAUACGGAGGGUGCAAGCGUUAUCCGGAUUCACUGGGUUUAAAGGGUGCGUAGGCGGGCAGGUAAGUCAGUGGUGAAAUCCUGGAGCUCAACUCCAGAACUGCCAUUGAUACUAUCUGUCUUGAAUAUUGUGGAGGUAAGCGGAAUAUGUCAUGUAGCGGUGAAAUGCUUAGAUAUGACAUAGAACACCCAUUGCGAAGGCAGCUUACUACGCAUAUAUUGACGCUGAGGCACGAAAGCGUGGGGAUCAAACAGGAUUAGAUACCCUGGUAGUCCACGCCCUAAACGAUGGAUACUCGACAUACGCGAUACACUGUGUGUGUCUGAGCGAAAGCAUUAAGUAUCCCACCUGGGGAAGUACGUUCGCAAGAAUG
rnacentral:rRNA from 1 species